GACGAACGCUGGCGGCGUGCCUAAUACAUGCAAGUCGAACGCUGAAGGAGGAGCUUGCUUCUCUGGAUGAUUUGCGAACGGGUGAGUAACGCGUAGGUAACCUGCCUGUUAGCGGGGGAUAACUAUUGGAAACGAUAGCUAAUACCGCAUAAGAUUAGUUGUUGCAUGACAUUUACUUAAAAGGUGCAAUUGCAUCACUACCAGAUGGACCUGCGUUGUAUUAGCUAGUUGGUGAGGUAACGGCUCACCAAAGCAACGAUACAUAGCCGACCUGCGAGGGGGAUCGGCCACACUGGGACUGAGACACGGCCCAGACCUCUACGGGAGGCAGCAGUAGGGAAACUUCGGCAAAGGACGGAAGGCUGAACGAGGAACGCCGCGUGAGUGAAGAAGGGUUUCGGAUCGUAAAGCUCUGUUGUAAGAGAAGAACGAGUGUGAGAGUGGAAAGUUCACACUGUGACGGUAUCUUACCAGAAAGGGACGGCUAACUACGUG
rnacentral:rRNA from 1 species